GUAGGUGGCAAGCGUUGUCCGGAAUUAUUGGGCGUAAAGCGCGCGCAGGUGGUUCUUUAAGUCUGAUGUGAAAGACCCCCGGCUCAACCGGGGAGGGUCACUGGAAACUGGGGAACUUGAGUGCAGGAGAGGAAAGUGGAAUUCCACGUGUAGCGGUGAAAUGCGUAGAUAUGUGGAGGAACACCAGUGGCGAAGGCGACUUUCUGGCCUGUAACUGACACUGAGGCGCGAAAGCGUGGGGAGCAAACAGGAUUAGAUACCCUGGUAGUCCACGCCGUAAACGAUGAGUGCUAAGUGUUGGGGGGUUUCCGCCCCUCAGUGCUGCAGCUAACGCAUUAAGCACUCCGCCUGGGGAGUACGGUCGCAAAGACUG
rnacentral:rRNA from 1 species